GCUUCUAACUGAAGAUACUACAGCAGACCAUAAGCUCCCUGCUGUCAUGGUCCCCCUGGAGGCUCCCACUGAUUGAACCCAGCUGCAGCCACUUCCAUCAUCAACCCCACAGUAUAUCAGAGGGCCAGUUUCCAGUAUUCAUCGCCAGAUCGUUGCCAACUAUGGACAAAGCUCUGCAACCAACCACCUGCCUGGGUCCAGUUUCCACCUCGUGCAUUCCAAGCCAUCAUCACGCCAAGCCCUCCAGCCUCGCCGUGCCACACGCCACACUCGACCACCGCUCCACCAGCAGCUCCCCGGGACCACCCCCUGAACAAGACCCCGCUACAAGAAGGAUACUUACCGCCAGUCCGCUCCUCGCCACAGAACUCCCGCUCCACGGAUUCCCGUUCAUCCUCGGCAAAUAAAAUCCUUCAUUGCCAA